rnacentral:rRNA from 1 species
GAUGAACGCUAGCGGGAGGCCUAACACAUGCAAGCCGAGCGGUAUUGUUUCUUCGGAAAUGAGAGAGCGGCGUACGGGUGCGGAACACGUGUGCAACCUGCCUUUAUCUGGGGGAUAGCCUUUCGAAAGGAAGAUUAAUACUCCAUAAUAUAUUGAACGGCAUCGUUUAAUAUUGAAAGCUCCGGCGGAUAGAGAUGGGCACGCGCAAGAUUAGCUAGUUGGUGAGGUAACGGCUCACCAAGGCGAUGAUCUUUAGGGGGCCUGAGAGGGUGAUCCCCCACACUGGUACUGAGACACGGACCAGACUCCUACGGGAGGCAGCAGUGAGGAAUAUUGGUCAAUGGGUGCAAGCCUGAACCAGCCAUCCCGCGUGAAGGACGACUGCCCUAUGGGUUGUAAACUUCUUUUGUAUAGGGAUAAACCUACCCUCGUGAGGGUAGCUGAAGGUACUAUACGAAUAAGCACCGGCUAACUCCGUGCCAGCAGCCGCGGUAAUACGGAGGGUGCAAGCGUUAUCCGGAUUUAUUGGGUUUAAAGGGUCCGUAGGCGGACUUAUAAGUCAGUGGUGAAAGCCUGUCGCUUAACGAUAGAACUGCCAUUGAUACUGUAAGUCUUGAGUAUAUUUGAGGUAGCUGGAAUAAGUAGUGUAGCGGUGAAAUGCAUAGAUAUUACUUAGAACACCAAUUGCGAAGGCAGGUUACCAAGAUAUAACUGACGCUGAGGGACGAAAGCGUGGGGAGCGAACAGGAUUAGAUACCCUGGUAGUCCACGCCGUAAACGAUGCUAACUCGUUUUUGGGCUUUAGGGUUCAGAGACCAAGCGAAAGUGAUAAGUUAGCCACCUGGGGAGUACGCUCGCAAGAGUGAAGCUCAAAGGAAUUGACGGGGGCCCGCACAAGCGGUGGAUUAUGUGGUUUAAUUCGAUGGUACGCGAGGAACCUUACCAAGACUUAAAUGGGAAUUGACAGCUUUAGAAAUAGAGCUUUCUUCGGACAAUUUUCAAGGUGCUGCAUGGUUGUCGUCAGCUCGUGCCGUGAGGUGUUAGGUUAAGUCCUGCAACGAGCGCAACCCCUGUCACUAGUUGCCAUCAUUCAGUUGGGGACUCUAGUGAGACUGCCUACGCAAGUAGAGAGGAAGGUGGGGAUGACGUCAAAUCAUCACGGCCCUUACGUCUUGGGCCACACACGUAAUACAAUGGCCGGUACAGAGGGCAGCUACACAGCGAUGUGAUGCAAAUCUCGAAAGCCGGUCUCAGUUCGGAUUGGAGUCUGCAACUCGACUCUAUGAAGCUGGAAUCGCUAGUAAUCGCGCAUCAGCCAUGGCGCGGUGAAUACGUUCCCGGGCCU